CGCCUCUGCGGAGCCGGGCUCGGAGCGGGUGGUCUCGGUCCCGGCGCUGCAGAGCCAGGCCCGGGAGCCCGCGAUGCAGGAGGUCCAGGGGCUGCUGCAGCCUGCGCGAGCCUCGCCACCGUGCAGUGUGCUUUGACGAGGAAGCUGAGAUCCUGACCAAUAAAAUGAGCAGCACCAACUUCACAGGACUUCAGUGGCAGAGCUGGGGCAGUGUCCCCUGAGUCUGCCCAUCUGCGAAUCUGGUGGUCCUCAGGCUCCGGAGUGCCCUCGAGACCCGUGGGAGCAUCUACGGCUCCUGCACGCCCCGCGCAGGGCGGGUCCACUGCGUGCAUCUUUGUAGCAGCCUUCCCAGGUGCUUCUGAUGCGCAGCAGAGUUGAGAAUGCCUGGAGCGAGGUUUCAGUGCUCAAACCCAGCAGCUUUGCUCAGUGAUGAGACGAAGAGAAGCAUCAUCCACCACUUGAGUACUGAGUGAUUUCAUCUAGGACAACUGUUCACAGAUUUCUUUUCCUCGGACUGAGUCAGACCAUGCAGAGAGGACUCCAAGGGUGGAGUGGAGGGUGGAGCCACAGGAUGGAUGGAGUCCUUGAAUGAGCCUGUGGAAGGCGGCCCACCAGGAGCACCAACAUUGGACGUGACAUGAGUGAGACCUCAACGGUUACUGUGUCAGGCCACCGAGAUUCUGGGUUUAUCUGUGACAGCAGCUGGCAUCGCCUCCACUGACCAUGGGCUUCAGAGAUGGAGACGGAAGUCCCCCCUUCCCUCCGGAGUUCACAAAGGUCGGAGGAGAUGGCAAAUGUAAAAGGCUGUAAACCAAAGUGGGUGCCCAGUGGAUGCUUCCUGGAGCCGAUGAUGGUUUGGGGCAGGCGUGACUGCAGAGCCUGAACAUGCAGGACCACGAGGUGCAGAAAAGUGAUGCUGCAAACACAUGCACUCAGAGAACCAAUCACGUUUUCGUGUUACUUUUUAAAAAAUCUAUAGAUUUUGUUUGGCUUUUCUGCAUUUAUGAGAAAUCUACCUUGCAAAUAGGUUUCAAAAAUAACCCUUCUCACAGCUCCAUGUAGUGCUCACCAUCUGCGGGGACAGGGCAUGGAUGUGUGUGCACGCCUGUGGGUCCCAGCCUGGGGCAGGCACAUGACUUGGAGGGCUCCCCAGUUGGCUGUGAGAGGUGGUGUGUCACGGGUCCACUGCACCAGGGACUUAGGCCUGGAGGGUCAAAGGUCAGGGGAGACAGACAUCUUUAGGGGAAGGGGGAGAUGACACAUACACCCCAGAUUCCGUGAGGAUCUUAGGGCUCCCUCAGCUGGAGUGAACUGAGGCCAACAUGACUCCGACAGGGCUCCCUCUCGGUCACCUGACCCUUUCACUCAGCUCUCCUCAUUCAUCAGCAACCAUGGGGACAUCCUUUCCCAUUUCACACUGACCACUCUCCAUGGCCUUAGCUGCAGAGAUGGGAAGCGGAGCCCAUCCCCAUUGUCUGCAGGGAGCAGGAGGGUUUCCUGAGUGGCUGCAGCACAGGGCAGGAGGGGACGAACACGUGUGUGUUGGACAAGCCUUCAGACUGGAGGAACUGUCUCAAACCAAGCCUGGCUUCUUCCUCAAACCCGUUCCUGCUCCUGUGCCCUCUGGCUGGGUAACGGCCCCACCCCACCCCACUGGCACGCCAGAAUCCUGAAGUCAACCCGUCCCCUCCACCCUCUCCACGUCCACAUCCAACCAGUGACCACAGUGCUGAUGCUCAUUCCAUUCUCUCCUUCCCCCAGCAGCUCUCCCCUGCGCUCUGGAAAUCUCCGAACUGGUCACCCAUGUCCAGUCUCUCCUUCCUCUGGCCAUCCCCAGGGGAUGUCCUGAAACUCAUCUGCAUGCCUGGCCAUCACAUGAACGCUUAAAAAACUUCCCUUGACCCCUUACUGUUUACAAGAUGAAUUUUAAUGUUCCGGGGGGUCUGGAUCCCCCUGUUCCCACUUUCUUCACAGAACUUUGCACCUUUGUGGCAUCCCAGGCCCACGGGCAACCCCCUGUGUUGUCACCUCUUGCUCUUUUGGUAGGAGUGCUUUCACCUCUCCCCCGUCAGCAAGGCCUGGUGAUGAUUAGGGUAGCAAUCCCAGAGUAUACAGCAUCUUGGCAUGUGAGGGACCCCAAGGCAUGCCAUUGUAAGGGGGUGGGUAGGUGUGUACGUGUAAGUGGGUGUGAUGUGUGCACUUUUGCAUUCACAGCCUGGCUUCUGGGAAUAUCCUGCAGCAGGAAAGUUUUUUCCAAGCCCGCUCUGGGCUGCAGCCCCUGGGAAGUGUGCCCUUCCUCCUUGGACCUCUAACACUGCAAGCUGGGCCCGCGGCUCUGCUCCACUGCUGGACAUCAGUCAUAUCAGACAGCAGCACCUAGCAUGAGCCUUUGAGAAAUGCGUACAUCAGCGCAGCCCCAUGGACCUGCUGGGCUGGCCAGGUGCAGGAAUCUAGGCAACUGCAAUUUGCACAGGUCGACCCUCAGACAAGCGCCGCACCAGUUAUUUCUUGGUAAGCAGCUGCACCAUUCUUUUGUGGCACAAUAACAGGGAGUUCGGGGAGCAGACAUCUGUGCAGGCUUUGGCUGGGGAGCUUUUUCUGCUGGCUCUGUCUUUGCCAGCUACUGUCACUCAGCAGGCACAGAAGAGACCUUGGCCAGCCUGCUGGGGUCCGCUUACAGCCAACCCGCAGCUCUUCUGGCACGGCUGCUCCAGGCCUGGCACCUGGCCUCAUCUCCUUCUCACUGCAGCCCUUAGAGGUAGACGCUCUUAUCCCUGAUGAAGGAUAGGGACGUUAAGGAUUAGCAAGGGGCCUCACAGGGACUCAUGGCAGAGCUGGAAUUAAACCUGGGCAUCUGCCUCUCAAACUCUGUCCCCUUCUGCUACACCUUCUGUCCCUGAGGAGUCAGGGAUGAAUGCCUUUCAUACCUGCGCCUUGCCUAUCUCUUCACCCCCAUCCCCAGCUGAUCCUCUCAGACACCUUACGCUCCAGGGCCAUGGAGCUUAGGUCCAGGGAGGGCAGAGCAAUACAUGCUCUAUGUCCCUGAUGCAUGUGCGCAGCCAACACGUGCUGGAGGCUUACUCUGUGCCAGAUGUGGUUGACUACAAAAAUGGCAGUGGAUUCUUCCCCUCCCCAGAGUCACACAUCCUUGCUAUGUUUGUUUAGGAGCCCUCUCAUUCUAACUCUGGACUUGGCCACAUGACUUGCUUUGGCCGAUGGGAUGUUAGCAAAUAUGUCACAAGUAGAGGCUUGAGAAGCUUGCACACUGGGGCUAAUGGUCUCUUGCUGCUCUUGGAACUCUGCUCCCUUGUGAAGAAGCCUGGGCCGGCCUCCAAGAUAGUGAGAGAACCAUGGCCCAGUUGCAUCUUUUGCUCAGUUGACAGUCUGCCAACUGUCAGACCUGUGAGUGAGGCAUUCUAGCUCAUCCAGCCACCAGCCAACCCACCAGCUGACCACAGACACAUCAGAGAGCCCAGGAGAGAUCCACUGACUCAGCCCAAAGCAUGAACUGCCCAACUGACCCACAGAAUCAUGAGCUAAAUAAGUGCGUGUUGUUUUAAGCCACUACAUUUUGGGGCGGUUCGUUAUACAGCAAAAGCUAACUGAUACAAGAUAUUGUAUUUCAGUUCCUGUUGCAGUCUAACAAACCACCCCCAAACAUAAUUGCUCAAAACGACCAUUUCAUCACAUUCCUGGAUGUGAGUUAGGGGUUUGGACAGGGCGUGCAGGAAUGACAUGUCUCUGCUCUGUGAUGUCUGGAGCCUCAGCUGGGAAGACUCAAGGGCUGAUACCCCGGAGUAUGGUCAGCUGGGGGCUGGAAUCAUCUGGAGGUGUCUUCACUCACUGCUAGGAGCUGAUAUUGUCUGUUAGCUGGCAUCCCAGCAGGGGCUGUCCAUUGGAGCGGCUGCACGUGGCCUCUCCCUGGGGCCUGAGUUUCCCCACAGAGGGGUGGCUUCCAGGUAGCUGGACUUUAAUGGAGGCCCAGGGCUCCAAAGGCGAGUAUCCCAGCCAACAAGGGGGACAGUGACUGCCUUUUAUGACCUUGCCUUGGAAGGCAAGCAUCACUUCUGCUCGCUUCCAUUGGUUACAGGCCAGUCACAAGUUCUCUCCUGCCCCCAGAUUCAAGGGAAGGGAAUUGGACCCCAUCUUGAUGGGGAAGUGGCAAGGUUCUAGAUGAGCCUGCGGAGCAGGAAAUACACUGUGGUCACUUUUGGAGAAUACAAUCUGCCACUCAUUAUCUCACCCACUUCCCGCAACAACCCAACGAGGUAGGUGUCAUUGUUACCCCUACUUUGUAGGUGAGAAAACUGAGGCUCAGCUGGCUGGUAAGUGCUCAAGGGCACAUAGUGAGUGUGGGAGUUGAGUCUAGCCAUCGCUCUGCUGCCUGUCAGAGGCUGCCUUUUCGUCCUUGGACGGAGCAUCUCAGUAGACUUAUUCCUCCUCUCUUUUAGCUUUAUGUUUUAUCUCCACUUUAAUGCGACACCGGCUAACCAGCAGCUGCACUUCUCAGUGUCUUUCUCGACCCUGUUUGGGGUCUCUACCGCUUCC
ensembl:lncRNA